AGUGAACGCUGGCGGUAGGCCUAACACAUGCAAGUCGAACGGCAGCACAGUAAGAGCUUGCUCUUACGGGUGGCGAGUGGCGGACGGGUGAGCAAUACAUCGGAAUCUACUUUUUCGUGGGGGAUAACGUAGGGAAACUUACGCUAAUACCGCAUACGACCUACGGGUGAAAGCAGGGGAUCUUCGGACCUUGCGCGAUUGAAUGAGCCGAUGUCGGAUUAGCUAGUUGGCGGGGUAAAGGCCCACCAAGGCGACGAUCCGUAGCUGGUCUGAGAGGAUGAUCAGCCACACUGGAACUGAGACACGGUCCAGACUCCUACGGGAGGCAGCAGUGGGGAAUAUUGGACAAAGGGCGCAAGCCUGAUCCAGCCAUACCGCGUGGGUGAAGAAGGCCUUCGGGUUGUAAAGCCCUUUUGUUGGGAAAGAAAAGCAGCAGGUUAAUACCCCGCUGUUCUGACGGUACCCAAAGAAUAAGCACCGGCUAACUUCGUG
rnacentral:rRNA from 1 species